UACGUAGGGUCCGAGCGUUGUCCGGAAUUAUUGGGCGUAAAGGGCUCGUAGGCGGUUUGUCACGUCGGGAGUGAAAUCUUACAGCUUAACUGUGAACUUGCUUUCGAUACGGGCAGACUUGAGGCAUUCAGGGGAGAACGGAAUUCCUGGUGUAGCGGUGAAAUGCGUAGAGCUCGGGAAGAACAUCGGUGGCGAAAGCGCUCUGCUGGACUGCAACUGACACUCAGGGACGAAAGCUAGGGGAGCGAAUGGG
rnacentral:rRNA from 1 species